rnacentral:tRNA from 1 species
UUAAUUGAAACCAAAAUAGAGGUAUAUCACUGUUAAUGAUAUCAAUGAGUAAUAACUCCAAUUAAA